GAGCGAGGAAAGGUGGCUGUGAGGCGACCAGACCGAGGAAAGGAGGAGAAGUGGAGAGAAAAAACAAGGAGCUGCGGCUUCUUAGAAAGAGUCUCCCUCUCCGCCUUGCGAGCCGCCGCCGCUUCUUUGAAGCACUGAGAAGCGUUAACUGGAAGCCGAGAGCGCCUUUUGACUGAAAACACGCCAAACGGUAGAAUAGCCCCAACCAGGGAAUUGAGCCGUCGAUGAUCCCGGCCUCCGGAGCUUCUGACUAGCCUGCUCAAUACUGUUUGAAAUCAGUAAAGGUGGUUCGUUUGUUUGGUUUGUUUUUUUUGCUCUGUUUCUGUCGGAAUCCGAAUCAUUUGGGAACCCGCUGGGUAAGUGACUUCCUUCCCCACUUAGAAGAUAAGAAGAAAGCAAAGGUGCUAAAAAAACAACAACUUAUAAGCUGAAUUUCCAAAGUCUGAAGAAUAACAGCAACAGGAGGGUUUAUUUCCUUUCCCUGGUUUUUUUUUGUUUGUUUUUUGUUAAUCCAAAAUUAUUCUGCUGUGAUUCUGAAGAUUCUUCAAGGAAACCUAUUGCUGAAUAAUUGGAUUUAAAAAAAAAAAGACUGAGAGAAAUGAGAAUUAUUCCUGUGAAGAAAAGAGCAAUAGAAACGCCAUAUUUAUCCUCUGUAUAACCUAAGACAUCAGCUACGAAAUUUUAAGAAAAUAACAAGGCUAUAAAUUUAUUAGUACAUUCCAGGCGGGGGAAACUAGUUUGCGCGCUAAACAUAACAGGAAAGCAGUUGUCGUGCUAAAAUUAAUAGUGUGUUAUCAUCAGGGUGUAGCAAACCGUCAAGGUGGUAGAAUGUCUGGGAAACCAGCGGUUAAGAUUAUGCAUCCAAAACUUAUCCGAUGCAAACUGACCAAUGAUGAUGAUCAAUGAUGGGGUGAGGGAUUUGGAAAUGUAUUUAAAUGCUGUACUCAUUUGUAUCAUUGCUCAAGCUGUUGUAGAAUGAAGAGACACAAGCCAGCUCCUCUGGGAAGGAAGGGUUUAUUAUAUAUGCGCAGGUUCAAGUACAGAACAAAGCUGUUGGUCUGAACGAGUUGGGGAUUUCCAGCAAAGCUUUAUAUACCUUAUUGCUACGUGCAAGCUGCAAAAACAUAGUCUCAGCAAGUUACAUACCAUAUAUGGUUACAAUUCCAGGAAGAGUAUAUUGGGGAACCGAUACCAGAUCAGGGGGUUACACAAACAUGUUUACCACGAUCGCAAAGUACAUUUUCUGCAAAACAGCAGGAUGUGGUUAUCCAAGCUUAGCACAUAUGGGUGGUACAUGGGUAUACGGUCUAUUGAGAAAGCUGCUUCUCUGUUACAGCUGACAAGGCCUUUUAUUUGCUUGACCAAGGCUGUCUCUAGGGCCUACUGCCGCAGGCCUGUCUGCUUGGUUCUCAGGUUACUUUAGCAACCCACCUUAUACCCACUUGAGCACAGAAGGCCAACUUUUGCAAAAGUUCAAAUAAAGUUCUUGUAUUGUU